rnacentral:rRNA from 1 species
UACGAGGGGGCGAGCGUUGUUCGGAAUUAUUGGGCGUAAAGGGUGCGUAGGCGGUUCCGCAAGUCCUGUGUGAAAUCUUCGGGCUCAACUCGAAGUCUGCACGGGAAACUGCGGGGCUUGAGUGUGGGAGAGGUGAGUGGAAUUCCCGGUGUAGCGGUGAAAUGCGUAGAUAUCGUCAAGAACACCGAUAGUGAAGACAGCUUACUAGGCUGCAACUGACGCUGAAGUGCGAAAGCGUGGGGAGCAAACAGG